rnacentral:rRNA from 1 species
AACGAACGCUGGCGGCGUGCCUAAUACAUGCAAGUCGAACGAGAAAGUGUAGCAAUACAUUAGUACAGUGGCAGACGGGUGAGUAAUACAUAGGUAACCUUCCCUCAAGAUGAGGAUAACCUUCCGAAAGGAGGGCUAAUACUGAAUGAGACCACAGGAACUACGGUUCAAGGGGUCAAAGACGGCCUCUAUUUAUAAGCUGUCGCUUGGGGAUGGGCUUAUGCACCAUCAGGUAGUCGGUAAGGUAACGGCUUACCAAGCCUUUGACGGUUAGCUGAUCUGAGAGGUUGAUCAGCCACACUGGAACUGAGACACGGUCCAGACUCCUACGGGAGGCAGCAGUAGGGAAUAUUGCGCAAUGGAGGAAACUCUGACGCAGCGACGCCGCGUGGGUGACGAAGGUCUUCGGAUCGUAAAGCCCUGUCGGCAGGGACGAAAAACGGUAUGGCUAAUAUCCAUACCGCUUGACGGUACCUGCAGAGGAAGCACCGGCUAACUACGUGC